rnacentral:tRNA from 2 species
GCCCGGGUGGCGGAAUGGUAGACGCAGCGGACUUAAAAUCCGUUGGCUUUGCGGCCGUGAGGGUUCGAGUCCCUCCCCGGGCACCA